AUAUCUCUCUGUACGGGAAGGAUGAGAAGCUUCGACUAAGGUUCGGGUGGGACGCAGCGAGAAAGCGUUGCCGCAGGCAACG
rnacentral:sRNA from 1 species